GUACCAAUAUAUACAGUAUUCAUACAUUUUUAUUUAUAUUUUUAAGGAAAUGAAUCAGAUUUUGGCUGAGCUUGAAGAAAAGAUUGCUAACCAUACUUCCAGUUGGCAGCAGGAACAUCUAAUUCAGGAAGAAAUGAAGGGUACACUGACUAUGAUGUGUGCUGCCCCACCUGUCUAUUUCACAGAGCUGGAAAGAAUACUGCAGCAUGAGAAAGCCAGAAUUCAUCAGCAGGUUGAACAAGCAUUACAGAUAUCUGAGACAGAGGCCGAGAAAAGAGCAGAUUCAAACAAACAAGAGCUGGAAGAACUGAGAAUGAGAGUGGCAAUGAUGGAACUGGAGAACUCUCAGCUGAUGAACCAACAAAACCAACAGUAGAGGUGUUAUUGUGGAGUUUAGCAUAUGACGUUCUUAAUAGAGAAACAAGUAAUAGGUUUAUU
rnacentral:lncRNA from 1 species